GGUCUUAUAGCUUAGUUGGUUAGAGUGUUGGUCUUAUGAGCUAAAGGUUGUGGGUUCAAACCUUGCUAAGACCA
rfam:Ipomoea nil DNA, scaffold: scaffold2422, cultivar: Tokyo-kokei standard.